rnacentral:rRNA from 1 species
GAUGAACGCUGGCGGCGUGCCUAAUACAUGCAAGUCGAGCGAACAGACGAGGACCUUGCUCCUCUGACGUUAUCAGCGGACGGGUGAGUAACACAUGGAUAACAUAACUAUCAGACUGGGAUAACUUCGGGGAACCGUAGCUAAUACCGGAUAAUAUAUUGAACCUCAUGGUUCACUAGUGAAAGAAGGUUUUGCUUUCGCUUAAAGAUUGAUCCGGCCCGCAUUCACUAGUUGGUAAGGUAACUGCUUAGCAAGGCAACGAUGGAUAGCCGACCUCAACGGGUCAUCGGCCAGACUGGAUGUGAGAGACGGCCGAGACUCUUACGGGGGGCAGCAGUAGGGACUCUUCCGCGAUGGGCGAAAGCCGGACGGUGCACCGCCGCGGGAGUGAUGAUGGUCUUCUGAUCGGAAAACUCUGUUAUCAUGAAAGAUCUAAUGCGUAAUUACCUAUGCACGUCUUGACGGUACCUAAUCAGAAAGCCACGGCUAACUCCGUG